ensembl:lncRNA
CACAGCGACCGCAUCCGGCUUCCGUCGAGCGCCCCUGCCGGCUGCGGGACGGGCGGGGGCAGAGCUCCCUCCUACCUUUUUUCUUUCUUUCUUUCCUUUUUUUUUUUUUUUUUUUUUUUUUUUUUUAAUAAGAAAUUAAAACACUGUCAGACAAGAACAUCUGAACCGUUCCCAGAGAGGGAAUAGUCAAUAAGGAAGACUGCAACAAAGGAAAGCAGCAACUUACACAAAAUAUUCACGUGUAACAGAAUAAAAAGUGUCAUAUAAUUGGAAUUGUUCUGCAAUCUAAUCCUAAUAUGAAAAAUCCACAUUCAGUAUCAUUGCUUCAGUCUGGCAUCAGCAAUAGGGGGGGGUGGGGGAGAUAUGGAAGCCCCAUAUAAUUCAGUUAGUACUCCAGUAUUCUUCUUUGAAGCAUUUGCAAAAGAUUAAACUAUUUUGGUCUCCUCUAAGCACAUAAGGUACAGGGAAUAGCUCUUCCUUUCCCCAUUAAGUUAUAAAAUAUUCAAGUUCUAUUGUGCCUAGAGAUGAGAAUUUUCCUUAGUCCAUAUGUUUGCAAUACUUUGACUUAAUCAGAACAAUGAUGCUCAAGGAGAUUCUGUGAUCAGAAACCUGUUCAACAAGAGGCAGCAUGCUAAUAAGUUAUCAGGUAAGUCACAACAUGAGUAUUUAUACAUACACAAAGCAGAAUCACUCAACUUCUGUUAUUUACUGUUGCUUUUGCCCACACAACUUGCAAAGCGUUAACUCUGUAGCUGAUGCCCAGCUUUUCAGUUUAUGCAGGCACAGACUAGAUGAAAAACUAUUUCUAGGAGGAAUAAGCUAAAGGACAUGCAUAAAAACAAAAUACACUUGAUCCUUCAACUUCCUGCAACUGAACAAAGAGUGUGUAUUAUAACAGAUGUUAGCACACCCUCUUUUUCCCAAGUGGAAUGAGAAGAGGACCAAAACAUGCAAAAAGGAGCAAUCCGCAACAGUAACAAAAAAAAUAAUCUUACAUUGUACAUUCAGUAAAUUUUAAACAACAGUGAAUCACAAGACUGUUAACUGUGCAUAAACCUUACCUACACAAACUGUAAGGUAAAUAAGGUAAAGCUAAAUCCAUUCUACUUAAAGCAGCACUUAGAGUAAAACAUUAACAAUAUUUUUAAAAAUAGGCCUCCCAGGACAUUUCAUAAGACAAUAAAACCCAAGUUACAGCACUCUUCACUACUUCAGAUCCUAUUUUACCAUAGUGCACCCCUCUACUAAUCAUACGUACUCUACAAACCAAUGCCCAAAGAUAAAAAGGUCUUUCCUCAAGUCUCUGUAGUCCUUAGUAUACAUCUACCAUGCUGUAUACCUUGCUGUACCAGCAGAAUUGGAAGUUAGUUUGCCUAUAACAUUACUUCAGUCUUCUCAGGAAAAAUAAAUAAAUAAAUAAAUGUUUCUAUCCACACAGGUACAACCCUCAGCUCACGUUUUUCCAAGAAAGUAUGGUCUACAGUACAUAGAAGAAAAGUUAUUCUAUGACAGCUUGAGAAUCUGUGUCCACUUUUGGGCCCCUCACUGUAAGAAAGACAUCAAGGCCCUGAAGCAUGUUCAAAGGGCAACAAAGCUGGUGAGGGGUCUGGAGCGCAGGCCUAAUGAGGAGCAGUUGAAGGAGCUGGGAUUGUUCAGUCUAGAGAAGAGGAGGCUCAGUGGAUAAUUUAUUGCUCUCUAUAACUACCUGAAGAGAACUGGGGGCCGGCCUCUUCUCUCGUGUGACUAGUGAUAGGACUAGAGGGAAUGGCUUCAAGCUGCACCAGGGAAAAUUCAGGCUGGACGUUAGGAAAUACUACUUCUCUGAAAGGGUGGUCAGGCACUGGAAUGGGCUGCCCAGGGAGGUGGUGGAGUCACUGACCCUGGAGGUGUUGAAGGAACAUUUGGACACUGUGUUGAGGGACAUAGUUUAGUGAGAACUAUUGGUAAUGGGCGGAUGGUUGGACAGGGUAAUCCUGUGGGUCUUUUCCAACCCUGGUGAUUCUAUGAUUCUGUGAUGAUUCCAAGUUUCGUUCUGCACUGAGUUUUGCUCAGAGGGAUCUCAACUCUAUUUCUUCUAAUUUAGAGUCUUAGUUCCACAUUCAUGAAAUCUAAGUUAGGCAGUUAAAGGGGAAUGAUUCACUAGCACUGAAUCAGAAUUCAGUAAUUCAAAAUUGGGGCAAAUCUAGGCAGCUAGAAGUCAUUAAAGGCUUAAGUUUCCAUCAAUGCUGACUCUCAAAGACAUCUGUUCAGAAGCAGAAAUUUAGUAGCUACACCCUACCAGUGCUGAGUAGGUGACAUACCCCAUCGCAAGGUCCCACCUGAAUCCAUAGAAGUGAACCUACUAAAUCUCAAGUUCAGCCCAAAGUGCAAUAAUUUGGUCACAAGCAGGGAAGUAUCAAAGAAAACAGGUGCAAACAUCCUGAUUUAUUUUAAUACCACUAACACAUUCAAGAUGAGCAUUUGUUUGAGUAAUUCAAACUUUCCACAUCUCUCCUGAGGGAACAUGCAGGAUAUUAGUGCAUUUGCAAAGUGACAGGGCUUCACAAAGUCUUUAUGAGGUUAUCCCAACAUGUACUGUAACAGCUGGAGCAACUGGGCUGAGAGGGAGCAGAACUUCACUAAGUUGAGGUACUAGACGUCAAAACUGGAUUCCAGUCUUCUCCUACUGAUGAUGAAGUAUUUUGUCUUAACCUGCUAGAACAGGCCUCAUUCUACACUAUAAACAAAAUAGAGCUCUAAUUUUCUACUGAAAGUCUGUGAGCCUCCCUAACUACCUCACGUGCUCUCCUUAUAAAUUAAGCAAUUUGCACCACUACACAGAUCGUUUAUGAACUUGGUAAUGAAAUUCACAACACUAGAAAUCAAUUUCCAACCUUAUGCUUCAUAAAAAUCACACUGUGUAAUUAUGUUAAUGUCCAUCUGCCUCUAAUAACUUGUUAACGGGUACUUCCUUGGUGUUACAGGUAUGGGAUAUCAGAAACACCUCAGUUACAUAAAAAGCCUCAAGUGGAAGUUGGAUUACUUUGGAUAACAAAACCAUCUGCAGUACAACUAGGUUUCAUGAUUCUGCUGCCCGUGAACUGCUUCCUGGGUUGUACUUCUAGUACACUACCCUACUUCAUAGUGAAUAAAUGAAACUAAUGUAUAGAGAUAGGCCUUGGUCCUCCUUAUUAAAUAAAUACAUCAUACCUACAGAGAUACGUAGGUACCACCAACUCUUACACCACAAUUUACUGCCACACAAAAAAACUGUAUUUGCUUCUAACAUAGGAACAAAGUCUUUUAUGAGCUGGAAUUGCGCCCAGCUAGUAAGCUGACUAGCUCAAGGCAUACCCUGAGAGACCAUCUCCGAAAACUGCAUUUAUUUCCUAGCUUGCCAAUAGCAUUAACAUACAUUUCAUGGAAGCUAUUUAUUACAUGUGAGCAAAUAUCUACUUUGGCUCUUACAAAGCCAUUGUACAAACAGGAAUUAGAUAUUACAGCAUGUAAACACUUCGAGAGUUUGGCCUACUGUUAAUCACUUUGUGUUUCAGAGCACUGUAAAGACAAUGCAGGCAUGUAAGCUUAAGCUCAAGUUUCAGCAGAAUUUAUGUGUGCUUCUUAGAAAUAGCAAGGACAAAAAAAAAAACACAAACAAAACCUGGAAAGACCUUAGAAGGUCUCCACGAUUCCUGUAAAUAGUACUCCUGUAAAAGUAUUCCAGCCUUCUCUGCCAGUGCAAUUCCUGGAUGACUUCAAAAUAUGUAUCUAUACAAAAUAUAUAUAAAUCUUAAUGCUAAAAGCAAAAAAAAAAAGUGAGCAUGUGUUGAAUGGUACAUUUUCCUUGGUGUCAUUUUGCUAGAGUAUAUUGUCUGAUGAAAUAUUACUAAGAUAUAAUGUCUCCAUUUUUGGGUGAUGUAUAAACAAAUCCUGCUCAGCAGGGCUGUUUCUAUAUUUUUGUUUCUAUGUUUUUUGUCUCCUCCAGGAGACAGAAGAAAUUAAAAAACAGGUCUUCCUAAGGAAUUUCAUUUGCAUGUGGCAACUGAUGUCCCCCACUGCAACAACCCCAACCUUUGCCCCAACAGAAUUUCAUCAGUGCAUAAUAUUUAAUCAUACAAAGUUAGAAAAAUAAAUGCUACAGACUGCACUGACAUAGACCUAGGUCACUGCAUUCAUGAUUUCACUGGUGCCAUGGUUUGAUGGUUUUUCACAUCAGUGGAUCAGUAUUCCACUACAACAUCAUGUAGCGCACUGGGAGUUAAAGAGUUGAUGUUGCAAUUCUGUGCACUGUUGGUAUUUCCAGUCUCCUCGUCUCAGAAGAGAAUACUGAGCUGAACUACAACUCCCAGAAGCCUUCAUUUUUCCAUUUUCAUUUGGAGGGUAAGAGAAAACUGACUGGGACUCAUGAGACCUUUCUCUUUGCUCCUUGGCAGUUUUGCCUACAGUAUGGACUUUGGUUUCAGAAACUCUCAUUUCAUUUGAUUUAUUAACUUCAAUUCCAAUCAUACUGUACUACAUUGCGUUAUCUCACAUUCCAUUACUGUAUUUAAUAAAUCAAGUUUUUCCUUAGGCCAUUGCUGCCAUUAUCAUUCAUCCAGGCCCAUUUUCCUACCUUUUCCCUUCCCCUCCCUUUCCCAGGGUGGGGGUCCAUGGGUCCCUUCACCCCCUUGUCAAGUAAUAGGCCAAACCAGGCCAAAUCUAACAACAGGCCUACAUCUUUUCAAGUUGUUAUCUACCCCAGUUUAGCUGUGAGAGCUAAACCCUAUCUGAAGUUUGCAGUCCUCAUGAUUGUCCUGCAGUCCUGUUCCCAUGAGAAGAUACCGAAGUUUAAAGAAGGGAACACAAUAAUAUAAUCCAAAUGAGAAACAAGACAAAGGAAAAUUAGAAUAUGUAGUACAUACAAUAGUUUAGGAUGGCAUAAUAUUUAUAUUUCAGUUAAAAUACAUGAACUAGUUUCCCAACAAAAUAAUUCUACACUUUAUUUUUCCCGGAAUAUGAAAACUCAGGGAGGAAUGUUCCAAUGCUCCAAUGACAUUUUCUGGAACCAAGAAUUAAAAACAAGCAAAAAAAAAACACAUUAGAAAAGUAUGUAUAUGCAUCCAUGGAAAUUUCUAUUUCUAUUUAAAUAUUUUUUAAGUCAAAGCUUUCUUCAAAAUUCUGAACUAAUACAUCAUACAAAGUUAUUUAUUAUAUCUAACCUCUCCUUUUAUUAAUAGUUCUUGCAGCCACCAAAAAUGACAGCUCACCAUCAUCAGCUCUUCUGUUGCUAUAAUCUUGCUCUCUCAAAACCCACUGCCCACUAAACCCCUUAUUUUAAACAUGUUUUUAAAGCAUAUAAACAUUUGUGAGGCUCAAUUUAAGGAAUGACUGCACAGUAAAUACGAUCUUCUUUGCAUCUUUCCCAGGAACUGACCUUUUGACAACUCCCCCCUGCCUCCCUUUCAGUCAUGGUAUCUGUCAUCUGUCUCACCUGUACAAUCCUGCAAUAUGGAGUAGAAGCAGUCUUGCUAGCUAUGCUGGCUUUAGGAACAUAGCUACCGAUUCUGAACAGCCGUUUUGCAAGGUGGCCUCUUAAAUUAUCAUAAGCUUGACAGGAUAUUGAAAUUCAUGCUUAUUUAACUAUUAAGUAUUUACAAAAUGACUUAAAGUUGGGAGUGUUUAUUUAGUAGGUCUGUGAUUCUGAUUUUAGAUUUCUAACUAGAUCAAUAUACACAGCUAGAACUGAAUUAACUUGUUUUGGCGACUUGCAUAGCGACAGCUGCAAAGCAUUGGAGCCACCAACUGUUCAAACAUAGCAACAGCUAGCUAGCAUCUUUCCCAGAGCAGUUUAUAUGAAGCAUAAAGUAAGUUCUGUCACCAACUUUCUUUUCUCACUUAACACACAUUGUAACAGUCAUCCUAUUAACAUUCUGUAAACUUUGUAUUUGAUCAAAUAAAGAUAGUUAUUUACUUCCUAAUAUUGUAUUUAUACCUCUAAUGACAUGAACUUAACCUAAAAGUUCUUGCAGACGAGGUCUUUUCCCUAGGUGCUCAAUCAGUGGUUCAGGCCAUGACUCAACAGUUCCCAUACACUCCGUUUAGCAAGUGAUUCUUUCCUGAUUUUCUGAUUUUCCUCCAUUUCCUGAUAUUUGUAGCAGAUACUACACAGGAAAGCAUUUUUCUAGCCAUCCUAUUCUCAGCCAUAUACUGUAAAGAGGCAUUAGGUUUUGUGCAUUAGUAUCAUUCCCAUGUGCAUAUAUUUACACAUUACAGAUACAACAGAUACACAUUAUCUAUACACAGACACAGUAAAAAAAAAGUGCAUAACUAGGAGAACAAGAGGCACCUGAAAAGAAAGACCACUUCCUGAAGCUUGAAGAACCUCAGGUAGCUCCUGGCUUGCUUAUAUAAUUUAUCAACUCCCAUUAAGGAUGAAGAUGGUAGCACCAACAUUUAGUAGUUUCCCUGAUUUGGAGCUAACUGAAGGUGACCUUUCUUAGAUGUACUCAAGUUUAGAAACAGGUUUCCUGAUACCUAUUACAAAAUAUUAAGUCAGAAGAUUCUCUCCAGCUUGGUAUCAAGAAGUCAGAAGAAUCUUAGGCAAAAUAAUAAUAGCAGCCCACAUCUCCUUACACUAGAAAAGGGAUCUCAUAACCUAUAACCUUGAAAACUUGCUCAUCAUAUAUUGUUGUGUAGGUUCUACAUAUUAAGACAAAAACUCCUGAUGAAAGUACUGGACAAUAAGAUUGGAACACGACAAUUCAGCAGGCCAGAAGUAAAAGUAUCUAUAAAAUGUUCCAUCCGAAGGAUGGCCAAAGCUUAGAAGUAACUGUGCUAUUAAAUAAAAUUAGGUCAAUUAAAAUAAACAUUAUCUUCAUCUUUUUCAGUUUAUCAUCAUGAUGCAUCCAGAUUAAACUCUAUUUUUGGAAAUACCUCAUACUAAAAAAAACAAAUAAUCUGUUCUGCAAAAGUCUUGAAUGUUUAAUCUGUCAAUUCAUAUCUACGUUUCUUGAUGUUAAUUUCUGAUAUCCUUAGACAAAUCAGCUGGGAAGAUCAGACACUCCAAGGGCAUUUGGGUUGGAUUUGUUAUGAUUUUAUUUCAUCAGGCUGCACAAUGAACAAAGCUUCCAAGUCUAAAGACCUAACAUUCCUCUUCUUAUGUACUCUUCAUCAAAACAUAAAAAUCAUCCUUUUACUUAUCUCUGUCAACAUUCCCUUACCCAAGGUAUUUUCUCAAGGUUACGCACUACUGGGAACAGUGAACUUCUGGAUCAAAAUUUGACUGGAUUAUCUGCCAUAAUCAUUUUCCCCUUUUUUUUCCCCCCUUACUGUAACUUUUACUGUUAUGAAAGUACAAUACAGGCUGUACAGAGAGACCUAGACAUCAGUUGUGUCUUUGCUAAGGCCCAAAGUGAACAGAUGAGGAUCUGAGAUCAGUAGAGACUGAGCAUACUCAAGAUCUCUCAUCAGUGAAUGAGAGAGAGAAGCAGCUAACUGCUGUUCUGGGUGUUCAAAUCUCAUGGGAGAAGCAUCCAAUGAUAAAUGCACCAGUUCCACAGGUUAGUGAGGAUGAGCACAUGCAGUGUAACCGCGAUGAAACAAGGUGAUAUUGCUGUCCUAUGGAGAUGGCACUCUGGCAUCUUUAAUGAAUCACGCAUGAGCUGAAGUUCCAGCCUGCUGAGGUGUUAUGUGAGCAACCUAGUUCUCUGGUACUCAGGAAAAAGAAAGACAACCAUAAAAAUAAAUUUGAGGUGAAGUGGGUGAGCAGACUUUGAAAAGUCACACUUCCAAGGCUUGUUUUUAUCACAGUGGCAAUGACCAUUUAAUCUCAAGAAGUGUUUCUGCCACAGCAGUGCCUUACCUCUGUGCAAAAUUCUGUAACAGUACCACUAGCAGGCACCGGUGGAAGCCCUAACAAAUAUCAUUUGUCACAACAGUUUUAAGGGUGAAUGAUGUGUAAUUUUCUGUUCUGGACACAAAGCAAAACUUACCAAGUUUCUCACUGUUGCCACUUCUGGAAGCCAAUACCACCACACGAAGAACAGUUGGUUAUUUUAAUUCUCAGCUUAAUUUCAUCCAACUUCCAUGGUCUACUCCUUUUAGCAUGUAUAUGUCAUUCAUGAUAAUCAAACAUCCUGUUGGCUCCCCAGCUUCUUCUAGAAGGACAUAUGGUAAAACAUAACAUCCUAUUAAUCUGCAGAUUUUUAAAAGUAAUUCCCAAUGUGCUACAGCUUCCUUAUCCAAAGAGGAACAAAUCUACAAAUCAACAUAUGUUCCAAACUUUGAAUUCUUCAGUACUAGAGAAGCACUCAUCAAGUAGAACUACAAAGACUGUUUUCUCUUAAGAAUAGCUUCUUUCCUCCUAAUUUAAAAAAUAUGAGGGCUGCUCCAGAAGUAAUGCCUCUUAUUCUAUUACACUGGCCCACAACACCAGAGGCAGAUGCUGGUGGUAUGGGAGCAGAGGUUGAAUCUUCCCAACAACGUUCAUUGCAUGUUGUUGCCAUGUGACAGAUGGCAGCAGAAAGGAAGUCUGUAACAAACAUGUGGAACAGAACUCCUCCAUGUGGAAAAAUCAGCACCUAGUGACGUUUACCAACACUUGUCAAGCAUUAAUGGAGACCAGUCAGAUGGUGGGUGGUAUGUUUCAGCAAGGACACUGUCACAGCAGCUGUGAAACAGUAAUUUACCUCCAGUGGUGCAGAUUUUUUAAGAGCACGGCACACAGGCUCUUGUUCCUCACUGGCAAAAACACAUAGCUAGCAGUGGUGACUAUGUUGAAAAAUAGCGUUUUGCAACUGAAAGUUUGCUCUAUCAAAUGCACUAUUAUGUUCUUUGUAUCUGUUCUUUCCACAGAAAUAAAAGGCAUUACUAUUGGAGCAACCUCUGUACAUUAAUGGGAGUGAUUACUUUUAAACAUAACUCCAUGAAGCUUCGAGAUCCAUCGUUUACCCAAAUGUCAGUAUUGAUUGCCUUGGUACAUACAUUUUUGUUCAUAGCUUCUACAGACUAUUUCCUCAUGUAACCAUUCCCACAUCAGAGCAUGAAGUACAUCCAUCAAGGCCACAGAUGUUGCUUGAGCUGGGGAGGGAAUUAUGCUGGUAGAUGAAGGGUAUACCUCAGAUUCCAGUUUGUGUCCAGGUAUGUUGACAAGUACUACACUGAAGCAACCCAGAGAAGCAUCUAAUCAGUAUAUGGGUUACAGUGGGCUACGCUGCCAGGAAAAGGUUGUAAGACUCACAAAGUUGUUUCAGUACAGAAUAGUCAUCUUCAGUUGGAAUCCAGGAGAGACUUCGUUCUCCAAGGCUCUGAGCAUUCUUUAACCUUCUUUAACCAUUAUUUUCAACUUCCAUAACAAAAAGUUAUUGUUACUGACUUACGUGAAUUAGGGAAGUAAUUUGAAUUAUUGACCUGUAGGGACUUACAGUGUUUAAGAGAAUCAAAAGGAAAAACUAUUUUAAUUCAAUAUGUAACAUUUUAUGUUUUUAUUCUCUUUAAAGAAAAACAAGCCCCCAAAGCCUCUGUAUAUAGUAUGUGAUCAGAGCAAGACUAGAUACCUUUGAGAAGCCUAAACACUUUUCCACACAUUCAGUACUUAAUGCAAAGGUAUAAUGUUAAGAAUUAACAAUAGUCCACCAAUUCAGCAAAGAAAGCUCUGAAGGCUUUUUUUCCACCCUUCCUGUUUCCCUGCACUAAAAUCAUAGAACAAAGAAAAAAACCUGAGUUCAGUGUUUACAAAACUAGGCUUGCGAUACAUACAAUUUCUGCAGCAUUAUGGAGAUCCAGAGGAGGAAAAACACUGUUAUCAAUCCAAACUGUCCAACACUUCAGUGAAGAAAGCUUAGUCUUAACAUCACCUACCUGUAGCUUCCAUUUCAAUAAUUAUCUUUCUUCCCUUUCAUUCUCUCCCCUACUCUACCACUAAGUUUUUUCUUCUAUCCAUCUCAACCUUCUCUCAUAUUUGGAUAUAGUUUAUUCACACAAAUGUGAUAUGAAUAAAUCUAUUUUCCUCUUCUAAACCACAAGGACAGUACCUCUAUGAGUCCACAUAUAACUUUUUUUUUUCUACUGACUGGGCACUUUAUUACCGGCUUAAUUUAAAUAAUCAGAUCUUAAAAAAAAGACAGAAAUAACUUGAGCAGUAGAUACAAGAAGUGAGCAUCUGUUGUCAAAGUCAUUGGCACAAUCCUUAGACACGAGUUGCUAGGAAAUUAAAGGUAAAAUGAAACAUCCUAAUUGAAAACAGCCUCAAACAGGAGCUGACUCAGGCCUGGGCAGCCAAAGUGUUUUCACUGAUCUGUGCAGACAACCUGUAUUUUAGAUUGCUCAUGAAUUCUCACGGAGCAAAACCUGCAUUCACUAUCCUGAUGAAGCAGCCUCUUAAAUGCUGGUCAUCAGGAUGUAUUCAGUUUUACCAUUUGAUUUCACCUGGGAUACCUGUUUUCUGUAAAUGGAUAUGCAAACAGGAAGAAAAGGAAAGGACUACUUUACUUACCCAGGCAUCCAGAUAUUAAAGCAUACAGACCAAGAAGACUAGAACCAAUCUUUUUUUUUUCCUCUCAGAAUCUCCAGUCCAUUUCUUAGGAGCAUUUCCAAGCUCAAGAGGCUGACUGUUCAAAACACUCCAAAGACCUCUAGUAUGUUUGCUGCUCAUGACAACUCUUGAAAUUCUCUCUACAUUUAUUCUUACAAGUAUGUCAGCAAGCUUAUUUGAGCUAAGACCUAGUCAGUUCUUACAGCAUACUCACCUGCACAGAAAUCCCAUCCAACACUUUCAGAAACACUCACAGACCAUUACUGCAAGAGCAGGGCUGUAUUUCUACUGCAAGGAACUGACAGAUUCAAGGAGCACACACUUUGUGACAUACAGAAGAAUGCUAACAACUUUCAGACUGGAAUCACCUUAUGAACUGAGUAGUUCGGAGUGCAAAACUUGUGCAAAAGGAACUUCAGCAUCCUGAGCGAUAUCAUACUGCAACAGGAACUUCCAGCGUUGUUAUGCGAUAGUUGAAAGGGGGCACAAAGUACUAAGAGAGAUCUUCUUGCCACGUAUCUUGAGAACGUAAUUUUAACAACUUUGAAGAGAUUUCAUGAAUUGCAGAAGAGACAUGUAUGCAUAUUCAUGACUUGCUUACAUACUUUAUCUGAUAAUUCUGAUGCACACAAAAACACACUGCAAAACUGGGAGCAGAACCUUGCUUAUUAUCCUAUGUAGUAAAAGGAAUUAUUUAAACUAACACCAACUACACAGCUCCAUCUCACCUACAAUUUCCAGUAACGCAAUUUAGGUAUCAGUCACUGUUUUUGUGUUUUCAAAAGCUUUUGCUAGACAACAGCUUUUUAUCUAGAGACUGGUAAUCCACUGACAAGCAGAACAAUCUUAAGACACUGCUACUCUUAGCAAUUUGAAUAUCUUUUAUUCCACACAUUUUCCAAGUCAUUUUUUUUUUAACUAAACCUUUUAUUUUCAUGUUUUUAGUGCACUAAUAGAGGUAGUCUGAUGAGCCUCCUAGCAGUGUCCAUUCCUAUAUUAACUAGAGAAUGAGACACUUGGAAACAAAAAAUGCCUCUCUUCAAGAUGCAUUUAAUCUUCAAGAGAAAAAAACAAACAACCAGAAAGACAAAAAACCUAAGCCUGAAGAGCUUGAUAGGAUUCAUUGUGUAGAUAUUUUCAAGUAUUUAGAACCUUUCAAUUUCUAUUCCAUUUAUUUUACAACUAGGGAAUAAAGGUUGAUUUCUCCUCAAAAAGUACAGGCCUUUACAUAUUCAGAGGGGUGGGGGAAGAUGAGCAGGAAAGAGAUGUACGUAUCAAAACACAACUAACUGGUGACUCAGUAUUUUUUAAGUGUUCAUGUUCUAUAGCCCUGCAGAGACAACACUUAAAAAAACUGGAGAAGUGACUAGAAGAGUACUAAGCUAGAACAUGCUAGAUUUCUUUUCUAGAGCAGGGAAGAGUACUGUCAUGAACAAUCUUAAAAGAUGUAGGUAUCUGAAUCUAUCCAAACUGCUGACGUGCCCCACAGCAGGCCAGUUGUUCUAGCAUUCUUGUCAGUUACAGCAGCACACAAAGCGUAGAGAAUUAUUAAGUAACCCAAGUUAUAGUAGCCUUCUGCCUCAACUGAGCUUUCUAGCUCUUCUUUCUUUUCCCUAUCCAUUCCUGUUUUUAUCUCCCCUCCCUGGAAUGCCAGCUAUGAACAUCACAGUUUUUCCCACAGAAAACAGGUCUGUAUACUUUUACCCUAAGUAGAGCAUGACCAACCACAACUUAUCUGCAGGUCUGAAUCUCUUUACAAACUCAUGAGAGCACACACUUUUCAAAGUGACUAAGUAACUACAGUAUACAAGGGCUAGCACUGAAGUGUUUAUCACAGGCUACUUUUUGAAUUCUCAAACAUUACUUUAUUAAUAAUAUGGUUCAGACUAUGUACUAGCAAGCACUAAUGAGCUAGCUCACCUGGCAGUAAUUAAAGCCAGUCUGAACCCCAGAUAUGCACUGAACACUCAUCUCCAAAACAAGCUUUUCUUCCAUUAAGUCUUAUCUAGAGCCAUUUACCAAGCUUGUGAAACAAACCACACAUUAGGAUGGUGGCUAUCUGUAAGAACCAUUAUGAACAACUAAUUUUUAAUCAACCAUGGACAAAUGCCUUCCCUCAAUUUCAGUUUAGUCCCAAAAAUCUGGCAAUUUCUGAUGGUUGAUUUGGUUGAUUAUGACCAGAAAUGUUGAUCUUUUGUAUCACAAAAAAAUAUUAGGACUACCCAAAUUACAGCUGUUUGCAUUUAAAGCUUUGAGUAGUUUGCUAUGCAUUUAUAGAACCUGAACCAGACUCUAACAAGUCUGAAGAUGCCAGCAUGUGGCUAUAACCAAGCACUCUGUAUUUGGAUAGUUACACCUAAACUACUUGUACAUCAUAUCACCCUAACAAUUUAAGUGUAAUAAAAAAAACAACACCCAACGCCAAGAAAACAGACUUCAUGAAUUCAACUGUUCUUUCAUUAAAUGAUUUGGGUAAGCUACAGAAUAUUAAGUUUUCUUUAACAGUAAGAACAAAACUUUGUCAGAAAAAUAGAGAAUUUAAAAUAACUGAGAGAAGAUUAAUUUUACAACUCUCAAUCUCUACUCGCUGGGCCAGUACUUGAGACCCCUCCAUCCAGGAAUCCUACUGGUGUAGCUAUUAGCAUCCUUUUAUUAAAUCACCCCAUUUACCCACCAUUUUCUGUCUGCCUUCUGCAUUUCAAAAUCUCCUUCUGAAACAUGAAGAGCUUCAGAACUUGCAGCAUAGGAUGAUGUUAGGGUGAAAACUCAUUUCCAGUGUCACCUGUGUUAGACAUUAGCAGGCAGUCUCCACUCCCCCCACAUUUACCAAACCAAGUAAAGGUAGACAGGUACCUACUAACAUUGCUACACUGAAGUAGAGUAAGAGCCAACAGAUGAGUCAUCAGGAAGGCACAAGAAGGAUGUACUGAGAAGACUAGAGAAGAAUCUCAGAGACAUUUAGUUCUUUUCACAAUACCUUCUCAUCUAGACCUCAUUCUAAAUAAUAAAGUAAUAAUAAUCAAAAAAGCCAAUGGCCAGAGACCAAAUCAUUUUUUUUAAGUGUAAUGCUAUGAUGAAGAGUCAAGACAUGACACAGUCCACUGCUUUAUGAUCAACUGCUUUAUCUUCUGUACCAGUGACAGUUCUGUAUUUUAUAUGGUGAAUGAUACUUGUAUCAACUACUCUGAAGCUACUAAACAUGAGUAAAGGAGAAAACUGCAGGAGUAAGUUCUAGUCUAAUGAUGGAAGGUGGUACAGAAAGAUUUCAAGAAAUCUGUGGGUACUAAAACAGAGUUUAAGACACCACUUAUAAACUACCAAAAAUGAUGUACUUUAAAGAUGAGAAUUGGUGAAAAGCAGAACAUCAAGUAUUGCAUGCAGUUUCUCAUGAUAAUGUCAGCUAUGCAGAACUCCCACGGUGCCACACCAGGGGACAUCCCCAUCUAGUCUUAUGCACAUUUACUGCCUAUGAACUAGCUAUUACUCAAAAUGUCUGCUCCUGACAGUCAUCUCACUAGUAGCUUUGAUAUUUGAAAGUCAACACAAGUCAGAUCUAAAGAACUGAGCUGUUUUUCUGGUAGCAUGCAGUGACAAACUACUGAAAAAAAAACUGCAUAAUUUCCCAUCAUGCUUUCAGAUACUAAGAGUGUACAGAGAAAAGUUUUCUAUGAUUAACAGACAAGGUUUUCCUUAUAAGGCUAACUGUGCUUUACAAAAAAACUCCAGGCAAGUAUUAAUACUGCUUGGAAUUUCUUGCUUUACUUCCCCCCCCACCCCCCCAUAACAAUAAGCAAAGUUACUCCUACUGCAGAAAAAAAUGAAAAAAACAUUUUACAGAACUGCUAAAAUUCUGUAGAGGCUUACAUUUACUAGUGCUAAGCUAACAGCGUAUAUGGCUCAAGCUAAAUUCUGUAGCAGGAGAUCACUUAAAAAAAAUGACUACCCACACCAAGGCCUAUAUAAGCUUCCCAUCUACUUGAGGCUAUUUUAAUAGACUCAUCAUCUGAACACAUCUGCAGAAAAUACCUACUCUGGUAUUUUUAAAUGGCAUCUCCACAGAUUUUUUUUUUUUUUAAACAACUCAUUUUAGCUGCCUAACCAUCCCACUCCAGUCAACCUUUACAGAAACAAGAGUGACAGGGCUCAGUUUAUUUCAAUGAAACCAGAUGAACUUGCAGCAGCAAUAUUUCUCUCAUUACCACUGUCUGUCAACCAAUUUAUGUCUCAACUUCAAUGAAACUAAAAUACACAGAACUAACAAUUACUUCUUAGGAGUUAUUCAAGUGAAGAAAAAAUAAUUUACAACAAGCUUGAUGUACAAGGAUCACUAUACAGACAACAGAAAUCUACCAAUCCACUAAGCUGAGUGUAGUUGACACAACAGGAGGGAGAGACAAUUCAGAGGGACCUGGGACACACUCAGGAAGUCCAAACACAAGAACCUAAUGAGGUUUAACAAGGACAAGUGAAAGGUGUUGUACAUGGGUCAAGACAAUCCCAGAUUAGUACAGACUGGGAGAACUCAGUGAGAGCAGCCCUGUGAAGGACUUGGGGGUCCUCAUGGACAAAAAGCCAGACAUGACCCCGCAGUGCAUCCCCAACAGAGGGGUGGCCAGCACACUGAGGUAGGGCCUUGUCCUCCUCUACUCUGCCCUCAUAAAGCAGAGUUUAAGGCUAUUACAGUUUGAGACUGGGGCCCCUGGCACAAGACAAAGGUGCUGGAAUGAGUCCAGGAGGGUUACAAAGAUGAUCAAAGGGCUGUAGGACCUCUGUAAGGAUAGGCUGAGGAAAGUGGGCUUGGAGAAGGCUCCAGGAAGACCUCAUUGCAGCCUUCCAGUACUUCAAGGGAGCUUACAAGCACUUACAGUCUGACAGCAAUAAGGAAACGAAGAAUAGUUUUCAACAAGAGGGGAGAUUGAGGUUAGAUGUCAGGAAGAAAUUUUUUACUCAUAUGGUGGUGAGGCACUCAGACAGGUUGCCCAAGGAGGUUGUGGAUACCCCAGCCCUGUAAUUGGGAUGAGUGCCCCAGGUAAUCUAAUCCAGUGGUUGGCAACACUGCCCAUGGUGGGGGGGUGGAACUAUAUGAUCUUCAAAGUCUCCUCCAACCAAAGCCAAUCUACAAUUCAAUAGCAACACAUUAGAAUCAGUACUCAGUACAUCCACUUUUUUUAAAAAAAGCAUUUAAUAAGCCUCUGAUUGUACAAAUUUUACAAUUAGUGAGAUGAAGCUGUAUUGAAAGCAUUCAGAAGAUGGUUAUUAGAGUUUACACAGGCAUUACUGUAACUGCCCCUGACAAAGCACAGCUUGCCAUUAUGUUUAAAAUGGUGUAUGGCAGUUGUAUAAAGGUGCAAUAAAAUUUCACUUGUGUACAGAAAAAUACUUGUAGAUGAGUACAAAUUGUCAGUGUUUUUUCCCCCCUCCCUCUUUUUUGUCAUUGUUCUCUCCAGUCAGGCUGGGCAAUUAAGAAUUAAAUGAUGGGAACAGGAAUACUUCUGUCAUUUGAUUUUUUACAUAAAGGUUUUAAAAAAAGCUAUGUAGGUACUCUCCAACCAAUCUAAUGGGACAACUCAAAAUUCCAUGGAAUAAAAACUGCUUUUAUAAGCACUCACUUUUAAGACGUUUCAUUGUCAAAUCUAAGAUGUAUACUUCAAAACAUACUGCUCACAUGACAAUAUAAACGUAAUCACAUACUAAAACACUUGUUGUAUUUCAACUUGUGCUAGAAAGUAGCCAGCUUUUUCAUUCAAAAAGGAGCUAAACCUGCUACCACCAGCAGAUUACUACAGGAACUUACUGAAGAGAAAUCACGACAUGAGAAACUUGCCCUCUUUACCUGACCUCACCAAGAAGAAGCUUCCUCUAAAUCUGCAGAACUGAAGAAAAUUUUAAGGUUUGGGAAAGGGUAUUUUGGAUAAGGAACCUGUCUGAGGACUUUGGGAGUAGCAGAAGAAAAAGGGCACAAAGGUAAAUCUGAGGCUGCUUGGAUACAUCAGAAAGAAAUUUAAAAGAAAUGACAACAUUUUGCUAGACAUGGGAAUAAGAGAAAUUCUGCUUUAAUUUAAGAACAGCAAGUGCAGCAUUGACCCAAAUAUUCUUAAUUCUACCACACAGGUGUUUUAGAGGACUAUAGAGUUUGUCAGCUGUAACCAACAAAUAAAAUACCUGUUGGAAUUUACAGCACUAUUGCUUAGAAAGCCCACUUCAGAAAAUAAAUCCAUUGAUGUUUGAGCUACAAGUGUAGUUCACUAGCACAUGGCUCAUCCAAAGACAGUGUCAAAUGCUCCACUUGCAGAUUUUACAUUUAUACUUCCUUAUGAAGCAAGAUAUUGAAUCAGUCCCCAGCCUUUUGAAACAGUUGUAUGGGUGAGCUCUUCACAUAGCUCCAGAGAUAUUCUAUUUUUAUUGCUAUGCAUCAUAUGCUAUGUGAAUUACUCCAAAGCUUGCAAGACGACCAGUGUUACGCUCACCACAAAUGCAGAUGCCUCACAAGAUGCAGACACCUAACUAGCAUUAAAGAUGCCAUAGCUGAGGCAUAAUAAGACCCUGUCUGUAACCAUCUUUACUACUCCUGAACUUAACCAAAUCUGGAUAAGGAACCAUAAUUAAAAGUGUGCUCUUACACUACUAAUUAGAACAUCUAGUUUUGAUAACAGUAAAAAUUAAAAAAAAACAGUACAGAAGAAAGCUAUUAAUUCAUGUAAUUUGAAUUUAAGAAACAAAGUCUCUGAGCUUGUUUCUUAGGACCCAUUUCAUCCCAACAAAGUAAUGGAGAAGAAACUGUAAAUACGCAUUUCAGCUCAGUUUAAUAGAAGACUUGUAACUUUUUCUUAAAAGAAACAAACCAGAACAAAUGAAACUCCCUCCCUCCACACACACUCAAGGACUUCAGUAAAUAAUUAUUAUCAGCAACAAAUCUGGUACAUACAAACAAUUCAGAUACAGAAAAUGAACAUCUAGUUACACCAAAAAUUACAUUACAUUUUUUCCAAGGAGAAACUUAAGGUUUUUAGGUUUCCUACAUCAAUGAGGAGGUAGAAAUUCCUCAAAACUAUGAAGUGUUUCAGCCUCUAUCCCCACCAACCUCAACAGGCCGGGACAAGUGCAAUACCACAGAAACGCACAGCAUUGCAACUGAUCCCAACCUGUGUAGAAAGGGGUACAAGUUUUCCACAUUUACUGACUGACUUGUCACUGCCACAGUCAGUUUUGCAUGGAUUUGCACAGCAGAGUAUCAUACAGCUGGAUGCAAACCUGCAAAACUAACCAGAGAACAGUGUUCAAUUUAACAACAAAUUGCAAAACAUGCUGAAUAUGUAGUUCUACAGCUAGC